GUUGCGAUGGCCGAGUGGUUAACGCGUUGGACUAGAAAUCCAAUGGGAUCUUCCCGCGCAGGUUCGAAUCCUGCCCGCAACG
rnacentral:tRNA from 2 species